GAUGAACGCUGGCGGCGUGCCUAAUACAUGCAAGUCGAGCGAACAGACGAGGAGCUUGCUCCUCUGACGUUAGCGGCGGACGGGUGAGUAACACGUGGAUAACCUACCUAUAAGACUGGGAUAACUUCGGGAAACCGGAGCUAAUACCGGAUAAUAUAUUGAACCGCAUGGUUCAAUAGUGAAAGACGGUUUUGCUGUCACUUAUAGAUGGAUCCGCGCCGCAUUGGCUAGUUGGUAAGGUAACGGCUUACCAAGGCAACGAUGCGUAGCCGACCUGAGAUGGGGAUCGGCCACACUGGAACUGAGACACGGUCCAGACUCCUACGGGAGGCAGCAGUAGGGAAUCUUCCGCAAUGGGCGAAAGCCUGACGGAGCAACGCCGCGUGAGUGAUGAAGGUCUUCGGAUCGUAAAACUCUGUUAUUAGGGAAGAACAAAUGUGUAAGUAACUAUGCACGUCUUGACGGUACCUAAUCAGAAAGCCACGGCUAACUACGUG
rnacentral:rRNA from 1 species